GGGAAAGGAAAGAAGGGAAAGAAAAAAAUAUGAGAAAAGAAGGAAAAAAUAGAAACAAAGCUCCCACUUACUUUGAACACACGAGUCCCAUCUUUCUUUUUACUUUCUGAAGCAGUUCUGAAAGUUUUCUUUUGUGAUCAUUUUUAGUUGUGCUAUUCUGGCAGCCUUAGUGUUCUGAAUCUAUUACUUUCUGUUGGGUGCUAUUACCCUACUCUGUUCCCAGCCAUUAUGAAGUAAGCAUGUGACUCUACCAUGUCCUUUCACCAUGAUGUCUCUGCCUUAGAGCCGAACAAUCAUUUACAAAAUCUACUGAAACCACAAACCUCCUUUAAAUUGUUAGUGUCAAGUAUAUGGUCUGAGUAAUGCAAAAACUGACCGAUACAUUGUUUAAAAAUGUUAGAGAUUUCAGAGAGUAGUAUACAUUUUUAAUUGUAUCUUGAAAGAAAUUUUAAGUUAUCCACUAUGGAAGAUAGAAAAGGAGGAGGGAAUAAAAGAAAGAGAGAAAUGAAUUAAAGAAAAAUUUCAGAUGUGGAAAUAUGAAAUAUAAUGUGAUUGAGUAUAUAUAAAACAUACAAUAUGUGUAGGCAGCUCUAUGUAGAAACAAAAGGGAAUGAAGACAGAGAAGAACACUGGAAUAAGAAUUUGUACACUAGCAAAGUAUGUUGAUGAUCAACAAUUUAGGUAAAAAUCAUGUAAAUUUUGAAAUUCUCUAAUGAUAUAAAAUGUAGAGGGAAAAAAACUGUACUAAAUAUUUGCACAUCCUUCAUACUAGACAAAAUAUUUUAACAUAUCUUAAGUUUCCAGUUCUUACCCCCAUGACUUAGGAAAAAAUAGAACAUUGUGUUUUUUAAAUGAGAUGAUACUCAGAAAUUUCACGUGAGUUGCUUAGAUUCAGAUAGUAAAUGAGUGACCCAUGAAUACUGCUCAUGACAGUUUACAAUAGGUCCCCGUAUUGCCACCUCUGUACUAUUCAUAUUCACUCAUAUACUUGUAAUGUCAUUACCCUUUUUAGGGUUUCUGGGAGGUCAGGGUCAGUUAUUAUAGAUCUUGUAGUUUACUAAUAGGUGAAUUUUGUUCUUUUCCUUCUUUUAUUACAAUCAUCCAAUUGUAAUAUACCAGGAUUAAAUAUAAUUUGUUCUUCUGCAUCUGUAACUUUUAUUGUCUAAUUUAGUCACCUUCAGCUGACCAAUAAACUAAUUGUUUAUAACUUUAAUGUCAGUAUGACAUAAAUGGUGUAGUACAGCACAGAUAUGCACCCAUUUCAGAUAUAAUGCAGGAAUCUGCAGAGCAUUCUCCAAAUCAGACCCCUGUCACUUCCAGUUAUUCCACACUACUGAAUAAGUUGCCACAGCAUACUCACAGACUAAAACAACUGAGUGGGAAAAAAAAAUCUGAAAAAAUUAUCUGAGCUUUUAGUAUUGGGCUGAAUAUUUACCGUGGAUGACAUCACUGCCAACUACAUGUCUCAGCAGGCUGACCCAUUCCGAAUAAAUUAUUCAAAGUCUCAAUUUCUUCAUGUGUAAAAUGGAAUUAAUAAUAACUGUGCAUGUGAAGCACUAAUAAUACUGUGAGGUAGAAAAAAUUUAAUGUAUAUUCUCCAGACUGAUGGACAUAUGUGAGUCUCUUCCUUCUACUUGAUGAAAAGCAGCAAAUACCCAGAUUUAAUUUCUUCCAGCUCCAUGAUAAGCUUUACAUUUGUUUGGGAGACUUCCCCAACUAUCCUGUGGAUAGUUUGAUAUGCAUGAGGUAAGCACUUCAAUUUGUUAACAAAGGAAAGAUAGAAAGAUAAGUAAACUUUUAGGAAGAAGCAGAGCUCUGUCAUG
rnacentral:lncRNA from 1 species